rnacentral:rRNA from 2 species
CGCGACCCCAGGUCAGACGGGACUACCCGCUGAGUUUAA